rnacentral:rRNA from 1 species
UACGUAGGGUGCGAGCGUUAAUCGGAAUUACUGGGCGUAAAGCGUGCGCAGGCGGUUUUGUAAGUCAGAUGUGAAAUCCCCGGGCUUAACCUGGGAACUGCGUUUGAAACUACAAGGCUAGAGUGUGGCAGAGGGGGGUGGAAUUCCACGUGUAGCAGGUGAAAUGCGUAGAGAUGUGGAGGAAUACCGAUGGCGAAGGCAGCCCCCUGGGAUAACACUGACGCUCAUGCACGAAAGCGUGGGGAGCAAACAGG